rnacentral:rRNA from 1 species
GACGAACGCUGGCGGCGUGCCUAAUACAUGCAAGUUGAGCGCUGAAGGUUGGUACUUGUACCAACUGGAUGAGCAGCGAACGGGUGAGUAACGCGUGGGGAAUCUGCCUUUGAGCGGGGGACAACAUUUGGAAACGAAUGCUAAUACCGCAUAAAAACUUUAAACACAAGUUUUAAGUUUGAAAGAUGCAAUUGCAUCACUCAAAGAUGAUCCCGCGUUGUAUUAGCUAGUUGGUGAGGUAAAGGCUCACCAAGGCGAUGAUACAUAGCCGACCUGAGAGGGUGAGCGGCCAAAUUGGGACUGGGACACGGCCCAAACUCCUACGGGAGGCAGCAGGAGGGAAUCUUCGGCAAUGGACGAAAGUCUGACCGAGCAACGCCGCGUGAGUGAAGAAGGGUUUCGGAUCGUAAAACUCUGUUGGUAGAGAAGAACGUUGGUGAGAGUGGAAAGCUCAUCAAGUGACGGUAACUACCCAGAAAGGGACGGCUAACUACGUG